rnacentral:sRNA from 1 species
GCUGGGCGUGUGGCACACACCUAUAAUCCCAGAGGCUUGGGGGCUGAGACAGGAGGAUCGUGAGUUCAAAGCCGGCCUCAGCAACAGCAAGGCGCUAAGCAACUCAGUGAGACCCUGUCUCUU